rnacentral:rRNA from 1 species
GAUGAACGCUGGCGGCGUGCCUAAUACAUGCAAGUCGAGCGAACAGAUGAGGAGCUUGCUCCUCUGACGUUAGCGGCGGACGGGUGAGUAACACGUGGAUAACCUACCUAUAAGACUGGGAUAACUUCGGGAAACCGGAGCUAAUACCGGAUAAUAUAUUGAACCGCAUGGUUCAAUAGUGAAAGACGGUUUUGCUGUCACUUAUAGAUGGAUCCGCGCCGCAUUAGCUAGUUGGUAAGGUAACGGCUUACCAAGGCAACGAUGCGUAGCCGACCCGAGAGGGUGAUCGGCCACACUGGAACUGAGACACGGUCCAGACUCCUACGGGAGGCAGCAGUAGGGAAUCUUCCGCAAUGGGCGAAAGCCUGACGGAGCAACGCCGCGUGAGUGAUGAAGGUCUUCGGAUCGUAAAACUCUGUUAUUAGGGAAGAACAAAUGUGUAAGUAACUAUGCACGUCUUGACGGCACCUAAUCAGAAAGCCACGGCUAACUACGUG